rnacentral:rRNA from 1 species
UACGAAGGGAGCUGGCGUUGUUCGGAAUCACUGGGCGUAAAGCGCACGUAGGCGGAUUUGUCAGUCAGGGGUGAAAUCCCGGGGCUCAACCUCGGAACUGCCUUUGAUACAGCAAGUCUUGAGUUCGAGAGAGGUGGGUGGAAUUCCUAGUGUAGAGGUGAAAUUCGUAGAUAUUAGGAAGAACACCGGUGGCGAAGGCGGCCCACUGGCUCGAUACUGACGCUGAGGUGCGAAAGCGUGGGGAGCAGACAGG